UACAGAGGGUGCGAGCGUUGUCCGGAAUCACUGGGCGUAAAGGGCGCGUAGGUGGCUGGGUAAGUGUGCGGUGAAAGCCCGGGGCUCAACCCCGGGUCGGCCGUGCAGACUGCUUGGCUUGAGCAUAGUAGAGGCAGGUGGAAUUCCGGGUGUAGCGGUGGAAUGGCGUAGAGAUCCGGAAGAACACCGGUGGCGAAGGCGGCCUGCUGGGCUAUUGCUGACACUGAGGCGCGACAGCGUGGGGGAGCAAACAGG
rnacentral:rRNA from 1 species